rnacentral:lncRNA from 1 species
CGAGCACGUGGACUUCCCCCCGGCCCACACGCAGGCGUCGGCGCUGAAGCCCCGGUAGGAGGCCACGAAGGGGGCCUGGCUCCAGUCCGUCUUGACGCGCCCGCCCAUGGUGGCCCAGUCGUCGGCGUUCCAGAGGCUGGAGUAGAGCCGCAUCGGCUGGUUCUUGGGGUAGGGUACACCCUUCGCUUCCAUGUUCCUAAACACUCUGAUUGGUGUUCCAUCCACGUAGAACCUGAAAAAAUAUGGGCCAAAAAAUAGUCAAGAUCUUGGAUAAGACGGAGUGGCCACCGUUUUGUAUCACCUUGGGAAGUUGGGAUAUAACUUUAAUAUCAGGUGGAAAAAAGAAAGUAA